UACGUAGGGGGCAAGCGUUGUCCGGAAUCAUUGGGCGUAAAGCGCGUGUAGGCGGCUCGGUAAGUCCGCUCUGAAAGUCCAGGGCUCAACCCUGGGAUGCGGGUGGAUACUGCCGAGCUCGAGUCCGGAAGAGGCGGGUGGAAUUCCUGGUGUAGCGGUGAAAUGCGCAGAUAUCAGGAGGAACACCAAUGGCGAAGGCAGCUCGCUGGGACGUGACUGACGCUGAGACGCGAAAGCGUGGGGAGCAAACAGG
rnacentral:rRNA from 1 species